UUAUUUGCUGAGGUGGGGCCCACACAUCGAGAUUUUUUUGGGACAUCUGAAAAGUCAUAUGAAUCACAUAUGUGAAGUUAAACACAACUCAAGAAGGACCCUUGGGCCAAAUCAAAGUGGAAGUCCUCCAAACGAAUAUUUUUAAGAAAACGUUUUCGGGUGAUCUGACUUCUAGGGGCAAAAACGGUAUUAUAAGUUUGGAAUUUGGAAAAUACCAAGAAAUAGAAGUUGUAGAUAAUUGAAUUAGAUUUCCAACCAUAGGUCGUGGGUUCCCAGGUGACAUCGGUACAAGGAGAUAUGGACGUUUUAAGGUCGAAAGGUCAGUGGGCUAGGCCCAACUCGGGAUCAACCGAGUUGGCCCAAAAAAAUAAAAAACGAAUUAAGGCCCAAAGGAGAGGGGUGGCCGGCCAUCUUAUGGCCCAAGCCCACAAAAUUAAUAAAUUUCCCAUGUGAUAAUUAAUAUAAAGGAUCAUUAAAUUGUCUUGAAACAUUUAGAAGUUUCAAGACAAUUGAGAAAGAGAGAAACAAGAGAAAGAAGAGCAAGAAUAAGAAGGCCAUUUUCGGCCAAGCUAUAGACCAAAAAAAAAAAAAAAUUUUUUUUUUUCAAAAAUCAUUUUCUACCAAUUAAAGGGUCCUUUGCAACUUGGUGUAAUUAUUUUGGAAGAAAGAACACUUGUUUCUUCAAGUUGACAACUUGGUCAAGUGAAGAAGAUUGUAGAAAAAGAUUUUGGCGAACUUGAAACUUGAUUUUGGAGACGUGUAUGAAUCGGAAAAGGUCAACAGGUAGACAGAUUUGACUCUUAGAAGCUCCAUCAGCAGUACUGUGGCAGCGCUCCAGUUGUUCCGGAGCCUCAGUUUCUUGGUACUACUUUUGUGUACAUAUUCGGGCACGGUAGAACCGGUCCUUCUUGUAUAUGUAGAUGUACUUUGUUUAGAGGCUCGUAGACAGAUAUGUACAGUCAGAUGUUUUGUACUUUUGUGGUCCUCGUCGUUGUAUAAUGUGCUAGCAAAGUUUAUAAGUCCAUGUCUACAAUUAUGCCAUUAAUGUUAGCGUUAAGCAACA